CUCAUCCGUGGAUUGAAGGAGAUGAUAAGAGGGCAUCAAGAGCAAUCAUGAUUCAGAAUGCCACGAACACUUUUUCAUGGAAAUCAUGCUUAUAAUAACAGCCAUACGAUUGGGCACAUCACUGCUGGAAUUGAGUAUGGUAGGCCAUUUUGUCCAAAAUGGGAUGGAGCAGCUCGAAUUAUUUCUCAG